UUCACAUCUCCAAAACAUUUGCUCUGUAUGAUAUCUAACACCUUGAAAACCUGAAAGACAGAUUCCCAAGUGCAUUAAAAAUAUUUUGUGGAUCUGGAAACUGAUAUCUUAAGUACAUCCUUAAUUUGAAAUUCUGUAUUUUCUAGUAAAAUCGUGUAUAUUCUACAAGAUGUGAAAAUGAAGUUAAAGAAAACAUUAUAUCAGUUGUAGUCAUAAAGCAGUAUAAGGAAUGACUUUGUAGCAAAAUACUAGAAAGUAUAUACCGUACUCAGAGCUAUUAUUUCCAGUAGUAAAUUUGUGCUCCUCCACUUACUCAGUUGUAUCCUCUUAACAUUUAAAGAUAAUGUCUCAUUGGCCUGCACCUUCUUCAGUUGCUACCUGGGGAACACAAGAAACAGGAAGACGGCCCUUCCAAUUGGUCAUAAGCGCUCUGAAGACAUUUACAUCUAAACAAAGGGAAGUGAAUAUAAUACUUCAAAGCAAGAAAUGAAAGAGCUGAGUGAAUAAAAAACAAAUUGCUGCAUUUUCAAAUGUCACAGUAGAACCAUAUGGCAUCUGACCUAGGAAAAAUUCUCCACUAGAAUGACUCUUCCUGUCCCCAUUCCUUCACUGAGAAAUGGCCUCCUGCUGCUCUUGCUGGUGCACAGGUAGACUGUACCGUGACGUUAUUUGAUGUUCAGUGAACUGCGAGCUGUGCUGAAAAGAAUGGAUCUUGACAGCCUCUUCAACUUCUAUUGCCUCCUUUUUUCUGUCAAAAGUACCUACCUAUAUUAGCUUCUGGGAACCUCUCUUCUUUGCUGUUGUGCUCUGCAUUUUAUUGAUGAAUUUGUAAUACAGCUUAGACUACUAAGAAUUACAAAGAUUGAUUAGGAUUUCUAAAAAUGUUCCUCUCAUCUCUGGUUGUCUGAUGUGAUGCUUUGAGGCCAGGAACAAAAGCAGCAUGAAGGAUGCUAGCAAAGGAGAAAGCAGAGGUGAGAGCCUUGGUGGAAAUACACCCUCCCUCGGGACUUUUUAUAUUAGGGAUAAUUUAACCCUUUAUUUUUUAAGGCAAAUUGACUUUAAGUUUCUCUUGAUUUCAAAUAAUAGUUAACAAAAUAAUAUAGCGGAUAAGCUAAUUUAGAGAGUAUUUAGUGGAUUAAUAGGUAGCUAUUAAUUUGAUUAAUUGGUAGCUACAACUUGUAUUGAUUAUUAAUUUGCCUCUAUAAUAUACAUGACAUGAGAAUUAUAUUUGCAUUGCAUCAUAACUUUUAAUUUAUCUCUUCUGCACUGUAAGUUCCAAGAAGUUAAAUAACAGUGUUUGCAUUAUAGUCAAUAACCCUACACCUAUUACAGUUUGUGGUAAAAAGUAGGUAUUCCCUAACACUUUGUAAGAAGAAAAGAAGAAAUAAGAGAGGAAGGAAGAAUAGAGGGCAGAGUGGAAAUCAGUCCACCAUUGUUCCUAACUCAGAGACAGGGAGUAAGUACAGUAAUUAAAUUAUUGUGAAUACUUUAAAAAUACAAUAAAAAUUGUACAAACAGCCCAAAGAAUAUCCAUUAUGAGUCUUUUAAAUGUUAACAUGGAAUGCAUUUUUUAAAUAAAAAUAAAAGGAUUACAGAACGAUAAUACAAGAUAAAAGUUGUUUUGAAAUUUUACUCAACCUGAACAUGUAAGGCAUAAACUCACUCUUUGUCUAAUAUAUAGUAAGUACAAGUUACAAAUGCUGCAUUCAACAUUAAAAGCUGUAUCUGUUUUAGGAUGACCUUAUUAACAAUCACUACA
rnacentral:lncRNA from 1 species